rnacentral:rRNA from 1 species
AUGGAGCUUUGCAGAGCAUCACCGGAGCAUCAUCGAGGCCGCCGGAACACCAUCAUUGCUGCAAUGAAGCAUCUCCGAGCAGUCAGAGCAUCGUCGCUGCUACAACAAAGCAUCAGCGGUGUUGUGUUGGAGCAUUGCCGGGCCGUCGGAGUAUCGUCGGUGUUGCAACGAAGCAGCACUGGUGUUGUGUUCGAGCAUUGCUUGGCCGUCGGAGCAUCGCCGGUGCUGCAACAAAGCAUCACCGUUGUUGUGUUGGAGCAUUGCCGGGCCGCCGGAGCAUCGCAGGUUCUGCAACGAAGCAUCACCGGUGUUGUGUUGGAGCAUUGCUGGGCCGACGGAGCAUCGCUGGUGCUGCAACGAAGCAUCACCGGUGUUAUGUUGGAGCAUUGCCGAGCCGCCGGAGCAUCGCCGGUGCUGCAACGAAGCAUCACCGGUGUUGUGUUCCAGCAUUGCCGGCCGCUGGAGCAUCGCCGGUACUGCAACGAAGCAUCACCGGUAUUGUGUUGGAGCAUUGUCGGGCUGCCGGAACAUCGCCGGUGCUUCAAUGGAUGGUUGCAGCAGCGUCGUUGUCGCAACCUGGCGCUGCACCUGUGGCCGUGCAUGGCGACCUCGUGGGCGGUUUCCCGUGAGAUGACCUGUGAGUCUGUGACGGGGCUGCCGCAACCUGGAGAAACGAGGAUGCUGUGCAGAUAG